rnacentral:ncRNA from 1 species
GUGAGCCAUGUGAUGGGAAACCUUCACUCACGGUUCGGAGAGCACUGAAUUAGAAUGAUAGGUUUACCACCACAUCAUUGCAUGCAAUGGUAGCUUUAUAAACUUUUAUUGAUUUUCCUAUCUAUUCUUC